GGGGAGGCUUCAUUCUAGCCUUUUCUAAGUAUAGGAACAGAUAGGAAGUCUUUUCUUCAAUCACUCCCUCAUCCCUCCUGUUGCAGGACAUGGCCAGGGCUAGGAAGAAUGACGCUGUGCUUUUAUUGCCCCUCUUGGCAGAAAAGGACCUUGGCUCCUUCAGUGUUUGCCAACCCAGGGAGUCAGACCCCAGCCUCCAAUUCUUCCUCCUUUUAGCUCCCCAGCUCUGAUCCCCGGUAGGUGGUGGGGAGUGGUGGGGGGGCAGUCCUUGCCACAUCUCUGAGCUAAAUAUACCCUAGCAGUUUGCACAUGUAGCAACUCUGCUUGUAACCUGAGCCCCCAAGGGAACGGGCAGUUUGGGCCACCCCCUAGGCCAGCAGGGCCAGGCACUGAGGGCGCCGGGAUGGAGGCGCCCAGCCGGACCCUGGUGGUGGUGAGCUGGGGAUGGAGUGGGGUGGUGGCGGGUAGAACAGCCUCUCAGGAAAGCUGGCGGAGGGCAGCCUUUACUGCAGCCUGUCUCCAUGCCUCCUCACUGUUUCCUGUCUUCUGCCAUUUCUGAUGUGUGCGUGUGUAUGUGCAUGCAUGUGUCUGCAUAUGUGUGUGUAUGUGUGCGCAUGCCUACAUAUGUGUCUGUGUGCACCUGUGUGUCUGCAUAUGUGUGUGUGUGUCUGCCCGCACAUGUGCGUCUGCAUGUGUGUCUGUGUGUGUGCAUGUAACUGUGUGUGUGUGUGUGUGUGUGUGUGCGUGCGCGUGCCUGCGUGGGUGCUGGGGUCGGUGAGUGUGUGCGCGUGUAUGCCUGCAUGUGUGCUGGGGUUGGUGAGUGAGUGUGUGUGCACGCGCAUGCCCGCGUGUGUGUUGGGGUUGGCGAGUGCCUCUCUGCUAGUCUGUCUCCCUGUCUGUUUCCCUGGCUCUUUGACUCUGCAUGCUCCCAUCAGGGUGGAGAGUGGGAGAUACGCUGGUUUUCUCUCCUUCUCUCCUUCUUGCCUUUUUCUCCACUUCUAUUAGUGACCCCCGCUCCACCCCAACCCUUCCCACGCGGGUCUCCCAUUUUCAUUAUUUGGCUGGGAAAGAGAUGGGCAGCUGCACCAGUUAAUGACCUGAGGCCCCUGGGGAGAGGUGGGACUUUGUCUUCUGUCUUUCCCAGGUCCCCUCCAUGCCAAACCCAUGGACCUUCCUGGCCAAGUGACCCUUUUCUGCCCUCAGGAAAGAACCCCUACAUCUCUGCAGUCCUCCUCUUUUGCCACAUAACCUCCUAUGCCUUGUCCAACACCACCUCUGCAUAGUCACACAAAUCCACACCUCCUGCCUCCUGCCCUCGCGUGUCCCCCAACCUCAGGGUCACAGAUGUCUGGGAGCUCCCCCCCAGUCCACUCACAUGUGGCUGUACGCACACAGUCAUAUGCAGCCAACUAUAGAGCACACCCUCCUCCACACAUUUGUACUUGCACAUCCACGCACACACAUGAAUAAGCACGUGCAUUCCCACUACCAGGUCUGUAUGGGCAACAUGUGUCUUACACAUAUGUGUGCAUCCCUAAAGGAGUCCCUUGUGCUCUGGGUUGGUCAUUGUGGUCAAAGCCAGCUGUCUGGCACCCAGCAGCCCUCAUUUCAGGGAAAGCCCUGUCCCAUAUCCUGCUCUUAACUUGCCUCUUUGGUCUGUACCAGCCUGGAACUCUUGGGUUCUCUUGUGUCCUAGGAGAGCCUGAGGACUGAGGCUGUAAGUAGUGAAGUUUGAUUCUGACAGUACCAGCUAGAGGAGCAGGGGAGGUAGGAGUCUAUCUCCCUCUACCCUUGAACAGAAGCUGGCAAAAUCUGUGGUGACCCUAUCCUGCGGAGCAGGCCGUCCGCGGCUGAUAGUGCAGAGAGCUCAGGCCGAAGCUGGUGGCUGCAGUCCCUGGAAUGGAUGCCACUGGACCUCAGCUGAGUCUAUCUCAGCGGGUGCUGGGGGCAGGGGAGGGAAGGAGCAGUGGGAGUAGAGACUCGUCCCUGGCAUUCCUCCCUUGCCUUGUGCCCCUAUCAGGUUCCCACCCCUCCCUGGGCCCCAAGCAGCUGUCCUUGGGCCUGCCUUCAUCUCCUGCUUGCUGCUGUCACCCUCACUAGGGCCACACUUUCCCCAGGGGCCUGAGAAAUCUCAGCUCCUGGUCCCUUCCACCUAAUACCACCUUCUCUUAGCCCUUGUGUCAUGCUGGGCUGGCUGGGGCUUGAGGCAUCCAUGAUGGGUCGCACCUCCAUGCCUUCCUGGGCCCAGGAGCUGGGAGGGGCAGCAAUGGCCCUGAUCUGGCUCUCUCUAUUUUCAGGGCUCAGCAGAGUCCUACACCAGCCGUCCAUCAGACUCUGAUGUAUCUCUGGAGGAGGACCGGGAAGCCUUAAGGAAGGAAGCAGAGCGCCAGGCAUUAGCGCAGCUCGAGAAGGCCAAGACCAAGCCAGUGGCAUUUGCCGUGCGGACAAAUGUCGGCUACAAUCCGUCUCCAGGGGAUGAGGUGCCUGUGCAGGGAGUGGCCAUCACCUUCGAGCCCAAAGACUUCCUGCACAUCAAGGAGAAAUACAAUAAUGACUGGUGGAUCGGACGGCUGGUGAAGGAGGGCUGUGAGGUUGGCUUCAUUCCCAGCCCCGUCAAACUGGACAGCCUUCGCCUGCUGCAGGAACAGAAGCUGCGCCAGAACCGCCUCAGCUCCAGCAAAUCAGGCGAUAACUCCAGUUCCAGUCUGGGAGAUGUGGUGACCGGCACCCGCCGCCCCACACCCCCUGCCAGUGCCAAACAGAAGCAGAAGUCGACAGAGCAUGUGCCCCCCUAUGACGUGGUGCCUUCCAUGAGGCCCAUCAUCCUGGUGGGACCGUCGCUCAAGGGCUACGAGGUUACAGACAUGAUGCAGAAAGCUUUAUUUGACUUCUUGAAGCAUCGGUUUGAUGGCAGGAUCUCCAUCACUCGUGUGACGGCAGAUAUUUCCCUGGCUAAGCGCUCAGUUCUCAACAACCCCAGCAAACACAUCAUCAUUGAGCGCUCCAACACACGCUCCAGCCUGGCUGAGGUGCAGAGUGAAAUCGAGCGAAUCUUCGAGCUGGCCCGGACCCUUCAGUUGGUCGCUCUGGAUGCUGACACCAUCAAUCACCCAGCCCAGCUGUCCAAGACCUCGCUGGCCCCCAUCAUUGUUUACAUCAAGAUCACCUCUCCCAAGGUACUUCAGAGGCUCAUCAAGUCCCGAGGAAAGUCUCAGUCCAAACACCUCAACGUCCAAAUAGCGGCCUCGGAAAAGCUGGCACAGUGCCCCCCUGAAAUGUUUGACAUCAUCCUGGAUGAGAACCAAUUGGAGGAUGCCUGCGAGCACCUGGCGGAGUACUUGGAAGCCUAUUGGAAGGCCACACACCCGCCCAGCAGCACGCCACCCAAUCCGCUGCUGAACCGCACCAUGGCUACCGCAGCGCUGGCUGCCAGCCCUGCCCCUGUCUCCAACCUCCAGGGACCCUACCUUGCUUCCGGGGACCAGCCACUGGAACGGGCCACCGGGGAGCACGCCAGCGUGCACGAGUACCCAGGGGAGCUGGGCCAGCUCCCAGGCCUUUACCCCAGCAGCCACCCAUCAGGCCGGGCAGGCACGCUACGGGCACUGUCCCGCCAAGACACUUUUGAUGCCGACACCCCCGGCAGCCGAAACUCUGCCUACACGGAGCUGGGAGACUCAUGUGUGGACAUGGAGACUGACCCCUCAGAGGGGCCAGGGCUUGGAGACCCUGCGGGGGGCGGCACCCCCCCAGCCCGACAGGGAUCCUGGGAGGACGAGGAAGAAGACUAUGAGGAAGAGCUGACCGACAACCGGAACCGGGGCCGGAAUAAGGCCCGCUACUGCGCUGAGGGCGGGGGUCCAGUUUUGGGGCGCAACAAGAAUGAGCUGGAGGGCUGGGGACGAGGCGUCUACAUCCGCUGAGAGGCACAGGCCACACGGCGGGAGGAAGGGCUCUGAGCCCAGGGGAGGGGAGGGAGCGAGGGGCUCACACCGGACAUGUAUUCGCCUCCAGGGGGCGCUGUCUCCCUCCUUUCAGAUGCCUUUGCUCAAAGUUUGGGGUUUCUUCGGUGUUAUCAUCCCAGCUCCUGGGAGGCCCUUAAGCCCCACCCGUCGGUUUUUACCUGCCUGUUGUGGAUGGAUGGGGGAUACCCACCUUUCUGAAGUGUCCCCUUUCUCCCAUCUUAAGGGGCUCUCCUCCCUCACCCUCCUAGAGAAAAGGUGCACUUCCUUAACUCUUUCUACUCGGGGCCCUAAGUGACGGUCCUAAGUGGGAUGGCUCUCCUUCUCCCAAGCUGCAGUACUGGGGAAGGGCUGGGCGCUUUUCCUGGAAAGGGAGGCCACAGAUUCUUUCCCAUGGGGGCUCUUUUCCCCAGACCCCAGAUCCAAGGUCCCUCACCCUGCCUGCCCCUUCCUCCCAGCUUCCUGGCAGCAUUGUCUGGUCGGUGAAAGCCAUAGCAUGGACGUCCCAUGGGGAGCUUGUCUUGGGGAGGGUUCUGGGUGGAAGCUGGCAAGCAUACAGCACCCUGUACCCUCUGUGGCCAUGGCAACGUCCAGGGCCCAGAACCCUGAGGAGUGAGCAGCCGAGACGCUGCUCCCCACCCCCCACCUCCAUGCCUCAGCCUUUGCCUACCCCAGGAAUGAGCUUGGCCUCCAACAUCCCUUGCCUGCUGCCAUUAGAAGAGGGGGCCCCUCUGCAUCUGAGCCCCCCAUCCCUGUGCCACCUGGGUGUGGAGCCCAUGGAACACUCUGGUCCGCCUCAUUUUAAACCAAAAAACUGCUCCUUCACCCUCACCCUGAGGCCCCAGGGGAGAGGACCCAUGGGAUGGUGCCCAGGGGUUGCCUUGGGACCUCGGAUCUCCUCUGGGGGGCUUGGCUGCUGCUGUUGCUGCUCUGUAUUUGCCUCUCGUGAUUCUGUUUGUUACCCAUGUUCACUUCCCCCAGGAGAGGCCUUGGUACCCCCUCUCCCCUGGGGCAUCCCUCUGCCUUGGCAUCCCUGUAGCCCAGCAACCCUGCCCCUCCCCAGCAUCCCAGCUGGGCCAGAGAGAGCCGACUGUGCCAACAAGGACUGGGCCCUGCCCGGCUGCCCGCCUCAGGGAUGGGCACCUCAUGCCUGUCUCGCCACCUCCUGUGCCAAUGUCCCACCCUCUACCUGGGGGUGGGGUGCAGCUUCCACUUACUGAUUAGAAGACACCACUGCCCGCCCUUCCCCCCUCCCUGUCUGGUGUCCUGUGCCCCCAUCUGUCUGUCUAUAUUUGUCUGUACUCCCCUAGGAGAAGUAUUUUGCCAUAUAUAAAACCACUGUCCUGUCCUUUG
rnacentral:sRNA from 1 species